rnacentral:rRNA from 1 species
AGCGAACGUUAGCGGCGGGCCUAACACAUGCAAGUCGAACGCGAAAGGUCUUCGGACUGAGUAGAGUGGCGCACGGGUGAGUAACACGUAGGUAAUCUACCCUUUGGCGGGGGGAUAACGUUCCGAAAGGAGCGCUAAUACCGCAUAAGACCACGGAGUUCUCCGGACGCUGUAGGGAAAGGUGGCCUCUUCUUGAAAGCUACCACCGAAGGAUGAGCCUGCGUCCCAUCAGCUAGUUGGUAAGGUAAUGGCUUACCAAGGCGAAGACGGGUAGCUGGUUUGAGAGAAUGAUCAGCCACACUGGCACUGGAACACGGGCCAGACUCCUACGGGAGGCAGCAGUGAGGAAUAUUGGGCAAUGGGCGAAAGCCUGACCAGCCACGCCGCGUGAGUGAUGAAGGCCCGUCGGGUCGUAAAGCUCUGUGGAGAGGGACGAAAACCCUGGUUCAAUAGGCUCCAGGCUUGACGGUACCUCUUUAGCAAGCACCGGCUAACUCUGUGCCAGCAC